rnacentral:lncRNA from 1 species
AAAAAAAAGUACUAGUUAACCAGCUAGAGAUCGAAUGUAUCUAGUGUAUAUUAAGGUGUGUGACAGGUUCCAUGAUAUGAGCCUGAACUCUUCCUUUUCCAGAUGCCCCAAGAAACACUUCAAUAUCAGUCAGUCCCUUUGAAGAAAUAAUGGAGGGCAGUUCCGUUACUCUGACCUGCAGCAGCAAAGCCAACCCACCAGUGGACACAUACACCUGGUUUAGAAAAAUUGGAGGUGAAAUCUUAAAAAAAGGAUCAGGACAGAAUUAUACCAUCAGUAACAUCACCUCUGUAGAGGGUGGCGAAUACUACUGUGAGGCUAUGACAAGACUGGGUGUCCAUAAUUCUACUUCUGUCAUUAUUAUAGUAGGUACUCCCACAUUUGUCAUUCCAAGCUUCAUAAUUGGAAUUGUAAUCGGUUCAACCAUUGCAUUUAUUUUUGUUAUUGUGUAUAUGGGGUCCAAGAUAUUCCGGUCCUUAAAGAAAACAGAGAGAGAUGAACAAGUCACUAUACAGGAUAGCAACUGUGCUGUGUAUGCAAAUGUGCUGGCAGUGGGUAUGCGUGGUCCUUCAGGGCAGACAUCAGGUGAACAGGAAAAAACUCAUGUCACAUCAGAUCAGAAGGAGAUGAAACGUUCAAGUUGCACUCCAUCCAAUACUGAAGAAGAUGUCCAAUAUGCCCAUGUUCAGUUUUCCCCACACAGGGGUAAGGGUACAGGGCCUCCAGUCCAGACUGUGGAGAAUACCAUCUACAGUGAGAUCUGCAAUGUUCAAGGUGAUAAUGCCAAGUCAGACGUGUAG